UACGUAGGGUGCGAGCGUUGUCCGGAUUUAUUGGGCGUAAAGAGCUCGUAGGCGGUUUGUCGCGUCGGCCGUGAAAUCUCCACGCUUAACGUGGAGCGUGCGGUCGAUACGGGCAGGCUAGAGUUCGGCAGGGGAGACUGGAAUUCCUGGUGUAGCGGUGAAAUGCGCAGAUAUCAGGAGGAACACCGGUGGCGAAGGCGGGUCUCUGGGCCGAUACUGACACUGAGGAGCGAAAGCGUGGGGAGCGAACAGG
rnacentral:rRNA from 1 species